UACGUAGGGAGCAAGCGUUGUCCGGAAUCAUUGGGCGUAAAGAGCGUGUAGGCGGCCCGAUAAGUCCGCUGUGAAAGUCCAGAGCUCAACCCUGGAAUGCCGGUGGAUACUGUCGGGCUCGAAUCCGGAAGAGGUGAGUGGAAUUCCUGGUGUAGCGGUGAAAUGCGCAGAUAUCAGGAGGAACACCAAUGGCGAAGGCAGCUCACUGGGACGGUAUUGACGCUGAGACGCGAAAGCGUGGGGAGCAAACAGG
rnacentral:rRNA from 1 species